rnacentral:rRNA from 14 species
GUAUAUUAAAGUUGUUGCAGUUAAAAAGCUCGUAGUUGGAUUUCUGGUGGAGGUGAUCGGUCGGCCUCGCAAGGGGUCUGCACCUGUAUUGUCCUUUGCCAUCCUUCAGGAAGGCGCUUCUUGUAUUAACUUACGGGUUGCGAACUCCUGAUCUUUUACUGUGAAAAAAUUAGAGUGUUCAAAGCAGGCUUAGGCUGUUGAAUACAUUAGCAUGGAAUAAUGAGAUAGGGCCUUGGUGGUUUUCUAUUUUGUUGGUUUGCACGCCAAGGUAAUGAUUAAUAGGGAUAGUUGGGGGUAUUCGUAUUCAAUUGUCAGAGGUGAAAUUCUUGGAUUUAUUGAAGACUAACUACUGCGAAAGCAUUUGCCAAGGAUGUUUUCAUUAAUCAGGAACGAAAGUUAGGGGAUCGAAGAUGAUUAGAUACCAUCGUAGUCUUAACCAUAAACUAUGCCGACUAGGGAUUGGCGGUCGUUACCUAGACUCCGUCAGCACCUUCCGAGAAAUCAAAGUCUUUGGGUUCCGGGGGGAGCAUGGUCGCAAGGCUGA